UCAUCCAGCAAUUAUUUACAUUUAUACCGUACCAUGAAGAGGAAGAUACUCCAUGCCUCUAUGAACCUACUUUAGAAAAGGUUGAAGCAAGGGUAUAUAUUCCUGGUACUCGAGAGAAAGAUCCUGAGCUGUUAACAAAAAGUGAAAUAAAGAAAGAGCGAGAACAAAUAAAGUCAAUUAUUGAUAGAUCAAAGACCAAACUUAUGAAUAAAAGGCGCAUAUUUGCAGAGGUGA